AUUGAACGCUGGCGGCAUGCCUUACACAUGCAAGUCGAACGGUAACGCGGGGCAACCUGGCGACGAGUGGCGAACGGGUGAGUAAUGCAUCGGAACGUGCCCAGUAGUGGGGGAUAACUGCUCGAAAGAGCAGCUAAUACCGCAUACGACCUGAGGGUGAAAGCGGGGGAUCGAAAGACCUCGCGCUAUUGGAGCGGCCGAUGUCAGAUUAGGUAGUUGGUGGGGUAAAGGCCCGCCAAGCCAACGAUCUGUAACUGGUCUGAGAGGACGACCAGCCACACUGGGACUGAGACACGGCCCAGACUCCUACGGGAGGCAGCAGUGGGGAAUUUUGGACAAUGGACGCAAGUCUGAUCCAACCAUGCCGCGUGCGGGAAGAAGGCCUUCGGGUUGUAAACCGCUUUUGUCAGGGAAGAAACGCUCUGGGUUAAUACCUCGGGGUAAUGACGGUACCUGAAGAAUAAGCACCGGCUAACUACGUGCCAGCCGCCGCAGUAACAC
rnacentral:rRNA from 1 species